GGAUGGGGGAGCGACUGGAGCUACAGACUAGGAGUGGAGGAAAAGACAGACAGACAGAAGUGCCUGAACUCCACAACUUGCCUGGCAGUGCAGAGAGCAGGAACUGUGGAGUAUUGUUCUGUGAGCCUGGAAACCUCUCUGAUCUGUGCUGGACUCCAGGCCAUGGCAUUGGCAGAGUUGAUGGAGCUUCUCAGCUGGAUCCUGGUUAUGAGCCUUGGGCUGUCCCAGAGGUGACUGAGGAAGAAGGAGAUCACAACAUGCCAUGGAAGCUCCUCCCCUGUGUUUGACUCCCUGUUUGGUUCCUGCAGUCCAUGGUGAUCAAGCCUCUUGGUGUAAUCCUGUUCCUGAGCCUGGGGGCAAUC